UACGUAGGGUGCAAGCGUUGUCCGGAAUUUAUUGGGCGUAAAGAGCUCGUAGGCGGUUUGUCGCGUCUGCUGUGAAAACGCGAGGCUCAACCUCGCGCCUGCAGUGGGUACGGGCAGACUAGAGUGCGGUAGGGGAGAUUGGAAUUCCUGGUGUAGCGGUGGAAUGCGCAGAUAUCAGGAGGAACACCGAUGCGAAGGCAGAUCUCUGGGCCGAUAC
rnacentral:rRNA from 1 species